ACUGUUCCUCCCUGGCUGAUAGCUUGCACUGGGGGCUCCUGGUAGUGGGCACAGAGGCGCUAAAGCUCACAUGGGCUCAUUCCUCAGGGACUUUCUUUCCUUAGUCUCCAACUAACCCAGCACUUAAUGUAUUCAGGGCUGCGGUUUCAUUUCCACAUUGGGUUUCCAGAUUUAACCCCUGAACUAACUUCUGCAGUUGUCUUCCCACCAGUUCAACAACAACCAGAUGGCCUGCAAGGCCACAGGAAAAAGUAGAUGACAGAGCUGGAAGAUGCUGGAGUGGAAUACCUUCAUUCCACUGAUGAGGAAAUCAGGUCAGGCCCAGAGGAAGUUUAGAGAUUCACCCAAAAUCACACACCCACUCAGCAGUGGAGACAAAAAUACAACCACUAUCCUGAUUUCCAGCCUGUGGCACUGCCCUAACUGUAUGGCUUCCCAUUCCUUUCAGUAACACAGUAGCUUUUACCUCUUGCACACAAAGUGACAGACACACAAUGGGCCCUCCUUAAAUGCUACUUUCCUUCCUUGCAAACUAUACCAUACUGUGCUAAAACUUGAGAAGGAUAAGUGGAAAAGUACCACACUCUCUGGCUCUCAAAGAGUUAUAGCACCUUAAAGGUAACAAACAGCAUGCCUACAUUGAGCAUAGAAACAACACAAGCUGAUGCAAAACAGAGUGCCAGAAGAUGCUUCAUACCAUGAGUGCAAGGAAAAGCAAAACACCUCACUUUACCCCCUUCACCUCAUUAACUCCCAUUUACUUGUUUUGUCUUAGUUUUGAGGUCAUCUCUUUUGGAAAGCCUUCCACGUUUGGUUUAGGUUGAACUAUAAGUGCAGGUGCACUUGUCUGGAUCCUUGUGAGCUCCAUGAGGACAGGUUCCUGGUCGGCCUUGUGCACUGCCUUUAUCCCUAUGUCUGG
rnacentral:lncRNA from 1 species